UGAGGAAUAUUGGACAAUGGGCGCAAGCCUGAUCCAGCCAUGCCGCGUGCAGGAUGACGGUCCUAUGGAUUGUAAACUGCUUUUGUACAGGAAGAAACAGUUCUACGUGUAGAACCUUGACGGUACUGUAAGAAUAAGGAUCGGCUAACUCCGUGCCAGCAGCCGCGGUAAUACGGAGGAUCCAAGCGUUAUCCGGAAUCAUUGGGUUUAAAGGGUCCGUAGGCGGUUAGAUAAGUCAGUGGUGAAAGCCCAUCGCUCAACGGUGGAACGGCCAUUGAUACUGUCUGACUUGAAUUAUUAGGAAGUAACUAGAAUAUGUAGUGUAGCGGUGAAAUGCUUAGAGAUUACAUGGAAUACCAAUUGCGAAGGCAGGUUACUACUAAUGGAUUGACGCUGAUGGACGAAGGCGUGGGUAGCGAACAGGAUUAGAUACCCAAGUAGUCCCUGAGCGGGCUGGCAAGGCGCAU
rnacentral:rRNA from 1 species